GCCUGGCUGGCUCAGUCGGUAGAGCUGGUGACUCUUGAUCUCAGGGUUGUGAGUUCAAGCCCCACAUUGGGCA
rnacentral:tRNA from 1 species